GGGGUUGUGGCUCAGUGGUAGAGCGCUCGCUUAGCACAUGUGAGGCCCUGGGUUCAAUCCUCAGCACCA
rnacentral:tRNA from 1 species